ensembl:lncRNA
GAUCGCUUGCCUGUGACCUCCUUUUUGGUCACCUGACUUCCUGUUGGUGUUGCUGAGAUUAGUUGCGGGUUACUUUUCUGAAGCCUCCAUCGCAGCUGGUCGUAGCUGUAGAAGCCUCCUCUGAGCCAUUCUGCUUACGUUUUAUGACACGGCUUACUUGGAUAAAAGCAAAGCAGCAGCUACUUUGGUGUGGGAUUCCACAGCUGUGUUACAGAGAUGGAGGAAGAGUUACAGGAACUCAGGGACUUGAUCGCGCAGCUGAAAGCAGACAAUGAGAGGCUGCGUCAGGAGAGGGCUGUUGGGUCAGAUGCGGAGUGCUGACGUGGAGGAGACUAGGGUGCCUUGGUGGUGGGAUCCUCUGAGUGUACACACCUGCCUUGUUUAAUUUAUUAGUGUGAGUGUGCUGCACUUGUGUCUUGGUGUAUUUUCUUUUUUUU